rnacentral:rRNA from 1 species
GAAGAAAGAGUGAGGCGUGCUUAACACAUGCAAGUCGAACGGAAAGGCCCUGCUUUUGUGGGGUGCUCGAGUGGCGAACGGGUGAGUAACACGUGAGUAACCUGCCCUUGACUUUGGGAUAACUUCAGGAAACUGGGGCUAAUACCGGAUAGGAGCUCCUGCUGCAUGGUGGGGGUUGGAAAGUUUCGGCGGUUGGGGAUGGACUCGCGGCUUAUCAGCUUGUUGGUGGGGUAGUGGCUUACCAAGGCUUUGACGGGUAGCCGGCCUGAGAGGGUGACCGGCCACAUUGGGACUGAGAUACGGCCCAGACUCCUACGGGAGGCAGCAGUGGGGAAUAUUGCACAAUGGGCGGAAGCCUGAUGCAGCAACGCCGCGUGCGGGAUGACGGCCUUCGGGUUGUAAACCGCUUUCGCCUGUGACGAAGCGUGAGUGACGGUAAUGGGUAAAGAAGCACCGGCUAACUACGUG